GCGUGCAAGUUUUGUUGUUAUCUACUAUUAUUAUUCUUGUGGAGAUAAACUCGUAAGUAUUGAGUAGCUACUUUUGAGUAUGCUCAUGAAAAUGGAGAUUAACACAUAGGAUUUGCUGAGAAGAUGUAUAUUAAUAAAGCAAAGUGUAUCUGUUCGACAGCGCUCAAUAAUUGAAGGCAAUGUCGGGUAUAACCACGAGUAAAUAAUAAUAGUAGACAUUUACACAGUCUACUGUAUUAAUGUCAUAUUAUAUCAAAAACGUAGCUAUACAUUUGCCUUGAGAAGUGAGAACAAUAUAAUAGAUUACUAGGAUGUACCCGUAUUCAAAGCAACUAGAAAUACAAGAUAUGUUUAUUGACUAUUACGCAUAUUUGGACUGAUAGCUAUCAACAUCGUGUAUUUUAUUGAAUAUACCUCAAGAAAUUGUCAUAUCUGAUUUCAGGUAUGAUCAUUAUGUGUGAUCACACGCACCACAAACGUUUUGGGCCCCGAAACGUAGAAAUACUAUUUCUUAAGAAAAAAAAUCAGGACCCAAGUUAAUUGAAUUUGUGAUUUAAAGAGAAAACUGGAGGAAUAUAGCAAGAAUUUUCCUUCGAAAAAAACUGGAGAUUCCGUUCUUAAUUUUCACACGAUCAAAGCUAAGUAUUAUUACAAACGUAUUGGGCCCCGAAACGUAGAAAUACUAUUUCUUAAGAAAAAAAUCAGGACCCAAGUUAAUUGAAUUUGUGAUUUAAAGAGAAAACUGGAGGAGUAUAAGAAGAAUUUUCCUUCGAAAAAAACUGGAGAUUCCGUUCUUAAUUUUCGCACGAUCAAAGCUAAGAAGCGAUCAGGGUCUUAUUUGGACGAAUGCUAAUUUUGAAUGGUCAACUUCUAUUUAACUCGAAAUCCAAAAUAUAUGUAUGUUUUCCGUAGGUGUUUGACUUUUAAACAAGUUAUCUAUAUGGCUCUGAUAGUAUCGACUAAGACAAAGUUUGAAGAAGUUAUUAAUAUGGUUUUGCUAUCAACAUAAUUGCUCUUUAUAGAUUACUGUCCAAAAAAUUGAUAGGAAAUUACUCUUUAAUUUUAAAUAUUGUUUGGUUUCUUUGGACCCAUGCAAAACCUCCACUAAUUUACAUUUAUUCUGUUGAUUUAAUUUUGUUGUAUAUAAAAUUUGAUAACUAUAAAUUUCAAAGUAUGUUUAUUAAUACAGUCAAUGAAAAUAUUUAAUCUAUUAAUGGGUUGUAAUUGAAGAAAAAAGUAAGUGUAUUAAAAUCAAUAUCGAAAUAAAAUUUAAUAGUAUGUUAUAUUUUUUCUCAUCAAAAAAUUCAAUGCAUUAAUAAAUUAAUUUUAAUGAAUUUGUUUUUAAAAAGUUGUCGUUUAUCGAUUCAAUUUCUACUU
rnacentral:lncRNA from 1 species